GUGGAUUAGAUACCCUGGUAGUCCACGCUGUAAACGGUGAGUGCUCGUCGUCGUGGGUAUUGACCCCUGCGGUGACCAAGUUAACACAUGAAGCACUCCGCCUGGGAAGUACGGUCGCAAGACUAAAACUCAAAGAAAUUGACGGGGGCCCGCACAAGCGGUGGAGCAUGUUGUUUAAUUCGAAGCAACGCGCAGAACCUUACCUGGAUUUGACAUCUCUGGAAUCUCUCUGAAAGGAGAGAGUGCCUUCGGGAGCCAGAAGACAGGUGCUGCACGGCAGUCGUCAGCU
rnacentral:rRNA from 1 species